AGUGAACGCUGGCGGUAGGCCUAACACAUGCGAGUCGAACGGCAGCACAGUAAGAGCUUGCUCUUACGGGUGGCGAGUGGCGGACGGGUGAGGAAUACAUCGGAAUCUACUUUUUCGUGGGGGAUAACGUAGGGAAACUUACGCUAAUACCGCAUACGACCUACGGGUGAAAGCAGGGGAUCUUCGGACCUUGCGCGAUUGAAUGAGCCGAUGUCGGAUUAGCUAGUUGGCGGGGUAAAGGCCCACCAAGGCGACGAUCCGUAGCUGGUCUGAGAGGAUGAUCAGCCACACUGGAACUGAGACACGGUCCAGACUCCUACGGGAGGCAGCAGUGGGGAAUAUUGGACAAUGGGCGCAAGCCUGAUCCAGCCAUCCCGCGUGGGUGAAGAAGGCCUUCGGGUUGUAAAGCCCUUUUGUUGGGAAAGAAAAGCAGCAGGUUAAUACCCCGCUGUUCUGACGGUACCCAAAGAAUAAGCACCGGCUAACUUCG
rnacentral:rRNA from 1 species